UGAGAUCAUGUUAGACUCAUAU
rnacentral:miRNA from 1 species